GGACUACUCGGGUUUCUAAUCCUGUUUGCUCCCCACGCUUUCGUGUCUCAGCGUCAGUAUCGGUCCAGGUCGCCGCCUUCGCCACUGGUGUUCCUCCCGAUAUCUACGAAUUUCACCUCUACACCGGGAAUUCCGCGACCCUCUCCCGUACUCAAGCUCGCCAGUUUCGAGUGCACUUCCUGGGUUGAGCCCAGGGCUUUCACACCCGACUUAACAAGCCGCCUACACACGCUUUACGCCCAAUGAUUCCGAGCAACGUUUGCACCCUCCGUAUUACCGCGGCUGCUGGCAC
rnacentral:rRNA from 1 species